rnacentral:rRNA from 1 species
UACGAAGGGGGCUAGCGUUGUUCGGAUUUACUGGGCGUAAAGCGCACGUAGGCGGACUAUUAAGUCAGGGGGUGAAAUCCCGGAGCUCAACUCCGGAACUGCCUUUGAUACUGGCGAUCUUGAGUUCGAGAGAGGUGAGUGGAACUGCGAGUGUAGAGGUGAAAAUUCGUAGAUAUUCGCAAGAACACCAGUGGCGAAGGCGGCUCACUGGCUCGAUACUGACGCUGAGGUGCGAAAGCGUGGGGAGCAAACAGG